rnacentral:lncRNA from 1 species
GACUGUCGCCUCAAGGGGAUGGCAUUUGCUCCCGUUGCAAAAGAGUUUUGUUUCAAUGAGCAGUUGGAAUGGAUUUUGAAGCUUUCAUGUUGUUGGACUUUUGAUAGAAGGAUCGCUGUCUUUCUUCAGGUAUCAGUUAGUUCUAUAGUAUUGUGGAUAUAUGACUCUGGAGUUGCAGACAUCCUGAUCCAUCUUGAUGGGUGUCUCCUAGCGUUGAUGGGCGGGCAGAUA